rnacentral:rRNA from 1 species
AAUGACAGUACCUGGUAAAGAAGUCCCGGCUAACUCCGUGCCAGCAGCCGCGGUAAUACGGAGGGGACUAGCGUUGUUCGGAAUUACUGGGCGUAAAGCGCACGUAGGCAGACCAGAAAGUAAGAGGUGAAAUCCCAGGGCUCAACCCUGGAACUGCCUUUUAAACUCCUGGUCUAGAGUUCUAGAGACGUGAGUGGAAUUCCCAGUGUAGAGGUGAAAUUCGCAGAUAUUCGGAGGAACACCAGUGGCGAACGCGGCUCACUGGCUCGAUACUGACCCUGAGGUGCGAAAGUGUGGGGAGCACACGGGAUUACAUACCCUGGUAGUCCCCACCGUACACGAUGAAUGCCAGUCGUCGGGUACCACGCUAUUCGGUGACCCACCUAAUGGAUUAUGCAUUCCGCCCGGGGGAGUACGGUCGCAAGAUUAAAACUCUAAAGGAAUUGGCGGUGGCCCGCCAAAUCCGGGGGAGCAAGGCGGGUUAAUUCAAACCAACCGUUAAAACCUUACAAACCCUUG